UGUCUGCAAGUCCAGAUUUACAUGACGCUGAUAAUGACGCCAUUGUGUCUGCCUGUAAGACACAUUACGAGACAGCAGCAGGAGCUUCAGCUAGAAACAACCAGAUGCGGCAUCGCGGGCAGAAGCUGUGAAGAGUUCUGCUCGGAGUCGGUCGAGAAGAAAAGAGGUUACCUCCAGCUCAGAGGCGGCCGUGGGUUAGAUGUGGACGGUGCUGCUCCUCGUGAGCGAGGGAUAUUUGUUGUGUGUGCUGUGUGUCUCC